GGAGUAAUGUCCAAUACAGGCAUCUGAUGUCUGAUGGUGAAGAUGGUGUACGGUGGUGUAUGAUGGUUGAAGUGUGUCAGAUGGUUGUCAGAUGGUGUAUGAUGGUGUAUGAUGGUCGAAGUGUGUCAGAUGGUUGUCAGAUGGUGUAUGAUGGUGUAUGAUGGUCGAAGUGUGUCAGAUGGUUUUCAGAUGGUGUAUGAUGGUGUAUGGUGGUUAUACAGGGAAGGGUUGUCAGAUGGUGAAGAUGGUACAGAUGGUGUAUGAUGGUCGAGAUGUGUCAGAUGGUUGUCAGAUGGUGUAUGAUGGUGUAUGGUGGUUAUACAGGGAAACGUUGUCAGAUGGUGAAGAUGGUACAGAUGGUGUAUGAUGGUCGAAAUGUGUCGGAUGGUUAUCAGAUGGUGUAUGAUGGUGUAUGAUGGUCGAAAUGUGUCAGAUGGUUGUCAGAUGGUGUAUGAUGGUCGAAGUGUGUCAGAUGGUUAUCAGAUGGUGUAUGAUGGUGUAGGGUGGUUAUACAGGGAAGGGUUGUCAGAUGGUGAAGAUGGUACAGAUGGUGUAUGAUGGUCGAAGUAUGUCAGAUGGUUGUCAGAUGGUGUUUGAUGGUGUAUGAUGGUCGAAGUGUGUCAGAUGUGUAUGAUGGUGUAGGGUGGUUAUACAGCGAAGGGUUGUCAGAUGGUGAAGAUGGUACAGAUGGUGUAUGAUGGUCGAAAUAUGUCAGAUGGUUGUCAGAUGGUGUAUGAUGGUGUAUGAUGGUCGAAGUGUGUCAGAUGGUUGUCAGAUGGUGUAUGAUGGUGUAGGGUGGUUAUACAGGGAAGGGUUGUCAGAUGGUAAAGAUGGUACAGAUGGUGUAUGAUGGUCGAAGUAUGUCAGAUGGUUGUCAGAUGGUGUAUGAUGGUCGAAGUGUGUCAGAUGGUUUUCAGAUGGUGUAUGAUGGUGUAGGGUGGUUAUACAGCGAAGGGUUGUCAGAUGGUGAAGAUGGUACAGAUGGUGUAUGAUGG